rnacentral:ncRNA from 1 species
CUAACCUUCCGCCGUCGCUGCAACCUCAGCGACCGGGCCUGAGAACCCGAUUC